UGCUGCUCCCCCCCUGCCACUGAUCCUGACCAGCUUGGCGAGGCUAGUCUCCCGCUACCCAGUCCCCUCAGCCCUGGCCACCUCCUGCCCUGGGCAGCUUUUCUGCUGAGACUGUCUCUUCCCCCAUCUCAUUCGUGGAGGAAAUUUCCAGGCAAUGCUCCUGGAGGACCUUGGACUUGGAAACCGUCUUCUCAACCUUAGAGUGGGCAACGAUGGCCAAGCCUCUGUGACUCCUGUGGUUGCAACUGGUCACAGAUUCCAAUGCAGUAGCAGGACAAGCGCCACGGAAAACGUUUGCAAGCCUGAACUACCAAACGCCCCAGGGUGGGCAGAUGAGGAUUCCAGGACAUCAGCAACCCAGUAGCCAAGUGUUCAGGCUCCCAGUCCUCCCUGAAGACGUCUCUGGUUACAAUUUUGUGAUCCUCUUGCUGGAACUCGGUUUCCUUAUCUGUAAAAUGGGUUAACUAUCAGCAGUUGCCCCCCAGGGGUACUGUGAGUAGAACCUGUGGUUCAAAUACACCCUUUUAUUUGAGUCAGAGCACGUGGAAGCAAAGGCCUGGGGAGAGAGAGGCAAGCCAAGGCCAGCCCAGGGUCUGUGGCCAGGCCAGCUCUCCUGUGGGGCUGCCUCCAGGAAUCCCUCCUCACACACAGAGCCUCGGAGCCAAGAGAAGUCGAUUAAUAACAAAGUAAUGAGGAGCAGAGAGGCUGAGUGGCCAAGGUGGCACAGCUGAUAGGGGUCGGAACCAGGAUGCAGUUUCAGCUUCCGGAUGCUGGGAUUUCACUUCCUCUCUGAAACCAGGCUGCGUGGAUCGUCUGAGGAGAGCAACCUGGUGAAAUCAGCACUGCCCAGGGGAGACGCAAGUUCAAGGGAGGCCGUGUUGGUCAGCUGUGCCUUCCUAUAGGGAAAUACCGCCCACAGGCCACUAGUGAAGUGAAGAGAGGUUCUCUUGGGCUCACAGUUCUGGAGGUUCAAGUCCAGGACUGGGAAGCCCCACUGGUUUGAGCCUCUGUUGAGGGUGGCACAUCAUGGCAGAAGUGCAUGGUGAAGCCAGUGUACAUCUCUAGUCAAGGGAGGGGGAACAGGCAAGAUCCUGUAAUCCCCUUUAUUUACACAUCUCCAGCCCUUGUUUAUUUUGUGACAGGAUCUCACUAAAUUGAAGAGGCUGGCCUCAAACUUGUGAUCCUCCUGCCUGAGCUUCCAGAAUUCCUAGGAUGACAGGCAUGGGCCUAGUUAGACUUACUUCCAACUGUACUGUUUUAUAGAUAAUGUCCUUGAGGCUCAGAGAUUGCAUAGUGAGUGGCCCAAUAAAAAUUUAAAGCAAGGCAGCAAGAAUUUGGUAUUCUGGCUUUUAAUGGUGUUAUACAGACCCUAGACUUGAUGGGGACCACCCCACUCAAAGUGGUGCUUUCCUGGUUCUUGCUGAUCUGAAAUGCCACUCUGUCCCCAGUACUUAGGACAGAACCAGGCACAGAGUAUAACCACAAUGAAUGUCUGUUAAAUGACAUUAAUAAUGUAAGUCUAAAUAAAAUAUCCCUUUUUUUAAACAGUAUUAGAAAUAAUCCCUAGUGUGCUGGGCAAGUGGUCUGCCACUGAGCUACCACCCAGUCCAAUAAAAUAGUCUUUAAAGGCCAGGAGCAGGGAUUAAAUUGAUGAAGGCUCUUUCACAUGUCAGGCCCUUACCCCAGGCCAAGUUAAUUCUUCCAGAGAUUUCAGCUUUUCAUUUUCUUAACCUCAUUUUACAGAUGAGGACAGAGACUCAGGGGGUAAGUGACCUGUUUAUGGUCACACAUUAAAUCAGUGGAGAGCCAGGGUUUGGGUCCAAGUCUGUCUGGUCCCCAAGCUGUUCCUUUUUUCUAUUGUCCCAGUCUGUGACUCAGGCUGGGGGAGUAAGGAAGGGAUGGGCUAAAACAAUGUAGCAAUAAUAAUAAUAAUAAUAGUUAUCACUGUGGGUAUGUAAUCCUCACAUGGAGAAGGGAGGAAGGUGCUUCAAAAUUGAGGCUGAACCUGCACAAUGGUGCCUGGGAGGCUGAAACAGGAGGGUUGCAAGUAGCUCAGUGGUAAAGCACCUCUAGGUUCAAUACUCAGCACAAAAACAAAAUAACAACAAUAACAACAACAAACCCCUAGAAACAACAACAACAAAAAGUGAGGUUGAGCCAGCCACAGUGGCACUGUUAUCCCAGCGACCCAGGAAGCUGAGGCAGGCAGAUCAGAAGUUCAAGGACAGCUCAGUAACUUAGUAAAACCACUUGUAUGGAAGGAAGGAAGGAAGGAAGGAAGGAAGGAAGGAAGGAAGGAAGGAAGGAAGGAAGGAAGGAAGGGCAAAAAAUUAAAGAGGGCUGGGGGUAUUGCGCCCUGGGUCCUCAGUAGCAAGGAGAAAAAAGUGAGGCCAAUGCAGCAGGAUGACGUCCAAGGGCAGCUGGGCAACUUAGAGAAAUGCUGUCUCAAAAUAAAAUAAAACAAAACGGCUGUGGGUGCUGCUCUGGGGUAGAGUACUUGCCUAUCAUUUAGAAUGCAGAAGGCCCUGGGUUCAAACCCCAGUAGGCAAAAAAUAAAACACAAAACAAAACAAAGCCCAGCACAGCGGCACAUGCCUGUGAU